ensembl:lncRNA
GUGACAGGUGACAGCUAGAGCGGUGUUUGUCAGGCCAGGAGAGAUUCCAUCUACGGUGACAGGUGACAGCUAGAGCGGUGUUUGUCAGACCAGGAGAGAUUCCAUCUACGGUGAAAGGUGACAGCUAGAGCGGUGUUUGUCAGACCAGGAGAGAUUCCAUCUACGGUGAAAGGUGACAGCUAGAGCGGUGUUUGUCAGACCAGGAGAGAUUCCAUCUACGGUGAAAGGUGACAGCUAGAGCGGUGUUUGUCAGGCCAUGAGACAACACAAAAAUCUGUCUUCUCACAAAAUUGCCUUUAGCAUCCGAACGGUUUUGCUCUGACUCCCACAAGCAUCUUGGGACUCAUCUGAAUUCGGUAGAGCUGAUCUGCCAACUACUGUCUCUCCGAACAGUUUGGACCCCUCCUGGAAAGGUGAGAUUCAAGACUCGUCUGAAGGUCCCCCGGCACCAGUUGAAAAAAUGUAUGGAAGUGUAUAUGGAGUCUGUUUCGUGCCAAAAAUAAGGGGUUAAAUGUUUUUUUUUUUUUUAUGUGUCCCAAUCUUUCUUAUAUCUCUCAGAUAUAACUUCCUUUUGAUUUUUUUAAAAUCUGUUUCAUGUAGUGAAUCUGUUGUUCAAUGCGUUUGUAUGGGUUAAUAGCCAAAUAAAAUAUUUAAUCAAAUAUGUUUUGUAUAUAUUUUUUUAGAUCAAUAAAUCAAAUGUAUUUUUAAAGCCCUUCUUACAUCAGCUGAUCUCACAAAGUGCUGUACAGAAACCCAGCCUAAAACGCCAAACAGCAAGUAAUGCAGGUGUAGAAGCAUGGUGGCUAGGAAAAACUCCCUAGAAAGGCCAGAACCUAGGAAGAAACCCAGAGAGGAAGAAACCCAGAGAGGAACCAGGCUAUGAGGGGUGGCCAGUCCUCUUCUGGCUGUGCCAGGUGGAGAUAAUAACAGAACAUGACCAAGAUGUUCAAAUGUUCAUAAUGACCAGCAUGGUCAAAUAAUAAUAAUGACAGUAGUUGUCGAGGGUGCAGCAAGUCUGCACCUCAGGAGUAAAUGUCAGUUGGCUUUUCAUAGCAGAUCAUUAAAAGUAUCUCUACCACUC